GGAGAGGGAGAGAGACAGAGGGAGAGAGACAGAGGGGAGAGGGAGAGAGACAGAGGGGAGAAGGAGAGAGAGACAGAGGGGAGAGAGAUAUAUAGUGAAAGAGAGGGAGAGAGAGGGAGAGGAAAGCGAGAAAGAGGGAGAUGGAGAGAGAGACAUAGCGUGAAAGCCUACUACCAGCUACACUCUCCUGCCCAGUUUCCGUUGGAUAAAAGACUAAAACAACUCAACUGCGUACCUGUCGAGCUACCGCUACCGUAUUCAUUGACUCACACUCUCAGCGCUAGCACAGACACACAUCAUCUCUCUCCGGGGCUAGCCAACCAGCAACACACACACACACACACACACACACACACACACACACACACACACACACACACACACACACACACACACACACACACACACACACACAGUCUGCCCAGUAGCCCCCCAGGGCUGGCCCAGUCCCCCCCCCCACCCCUCCCAGUCAGUCUCAGUCUGGGCUGAUGAUUUAGACCUUCCACAUGUGCAGGCCGGCAUGGAGGCGCCUGGUUGGUGUUGGUCCAGGUCCUGCGUGUUGUAGGGUUAGUGUGACCACGGCCAUAGACACGCUCAUAAAUUAACAGGAGAGAGGCUCAAAGCCCAGACAUCAUGGGAACAAGGACUCCAUUUCCCAGGAUUCUCUAGGUGCCUUUAAAUGAGAUGGGAGUUUGAUAAACUCAAGAGGACAGUUUAGGUGUGCAAUACUGGGAUAGAAAUCGUUUUGAUUCUGUUUUGUUUUUCUUUAUUGUCAUCUUUCCGAUACAUUUUGGCAGUAUUUCAUUUUUUUUAGUUUUACUACUUUUCUCUUGAGCAGCCAAAAGUCAAAUGAGUGUGUGUCUGCUGGAUUCCACCCAGAUAACAAACACAGACACAGACAUAGAGAAACAGCCUGAGAGAGAAGAGGACGCCAUAUUCCGAAAAGUACUGUAAAAAAAAACGGGAAAAAACUGGAAAGGUACAACUGUGUCUGGAAGAGGAGACGGAAGCACGGACACACAGAGCAUAAAUAACUCGGACCUUCAGUGUAUAGCUUUAGACCCACGGGAAGAACACGCACGCACACACAUGCACACACUAACACACACACACAUGCAAACACACACAGAUACACACACAGACAAAUACUGCACAAAAACACACACACUAACAAAGACAGAUAGACGGACUAACACGCACACACGCAUAGAUUCGCACAAAGACACAUACACAUUAACACACAUACGCACACACACACGCAUACAUUAACACACACACACGCACUUACAGAAAGAGACGCACACACACGGAGCUGUGGAAGGACAUAAACCUGUCCUGGUCGUAGAGGACAGGUAGCUUAAUACUCCGCAGCUGUCAUCUCCGUCCCACUGAAUCCCACCACUGGGCGAUGGUUUCUACCUCCCACUCCCACUGCUUCCUCUAGCUGUGUGUGUGUGUGUGUGUGUGUGUGUGUGUGUGUGUGUGUGUGUGUGCGUGUGCGUGUGCGCAUGCGCGUGUGCGUGCAUCCAGCAAGCAGGUGGAUCCCCUUCGGACACACAUGCACACACAGACACACGUACAUACGCACGUGCAAUCACUUGUGCAAAUAUUAUCUAUUUGCUCGCUAUCUAUCUCUCUAUCUUUUGUUUGCCUUCCGUUCUCGCUCGCUCUCUCUCUCUCUCACACACUUUUACAACCUCUGUUUUAUGAUUGUUGUUUCAGGUGUGGAGAGACUACUGUGUCUCUUCAUUCACCUUUUCCCUCUCUCUCUCUUUCCUCCCAUCUGCUCAUUCUCCUUCAGGCUCUCCUCUUCUUCCCUCCCUGCUUCUCUCUCUGUUUCUCUCUGUCUCUCUAACUGGUUCUAGCUCUGUCUCUCUCUCCCGCAAAACACUCUCUCUCUCUCUCUCUCUCUCUCUCUCUCUCUCUCUCUCUCUCUCUCUCUCUCUCUCUCUCUCUCUCUCUCUCUCUCUCUCUCUCUCUCUCUCUCUCUCUCUCCCCCCCUCCCUGGAGAUGCUCCUUCCAGAACAUUAUGUCUUCAUUCUCUGUCUUCAGACUGCUACUUACAUUGCUCACAUAUGUUUCUCCUCUUCUCUUCCCACUCUCCCUCCUCUCCUCCCUCAACCUCCUCCUCCUCCUCCUCAUCCUCUUCCCCCCUCCAACUCCUCCUCCACCUCCUCCAGGUUGUCCCUGAAGAGUCACAGUGGGACGGCGGGUCGUCAGAGCAGCCUGGUGAUCCACGGCGCCGACUUCAGCACCACCGACAUGGACAACGACAGCUGCCUGUGCAAGUGCGCCCUCAUGCUCACCGGAGGUUGGUGGUUUGACGCCUGCGGCCCGUCCAACCUGAACGGAAUGUACUUCGCCGAGGGCCAACACAUCGGCAAGCUCAACGGCAUCAAGUGGCACUACUUCAAGGGCCCGAGCUACUCGCUACGUGCUACCACCAUGAUGAUCCGACCUCUGGAUUUCCCCUAGGACCAGCAUCUAGCUACUAGCUACUAGCUCCUGGCUACCUGCUACCACCAUGAUGAUCCGACCUCUGGAUUUCACCUAGGACCAGCAUCUAGCUACUAGCUACUAGCUCCUGGCUACCUGCUACCACCAUGAUGAUCCGCCCUCUGUGCUUCACCUAGGACUAGCAUAUAGCUACUUGUUACGUGCUACGACUAUGAAGAUCCACCCUACAGACUUCACCUAGGAAUAGCAUCUAGCUUCGUUCUACGUGCUAUAACCAUGAUGAUACAACCACAACUUCUGCUAAGACUAGCUACUAGCUGCUUGCUACGUGCUACGACUAUGACUAUAUACCCUCUAGACUUUUACUAAGACCUGCUGCAAGCAACACGCUACUACAAGAGUAAAAACCCAUCUUGUAGACUUCUGCUUAGAAUAGCAGCUAGCUACAUGCUACAACACUGACAAUCCGCCUUUUAAACAUGUUCCAAAACGUUUUACUUGCUGCUGGCUACGCACUACAACCACGACAAUCCAGCUCUGAGCCGUAUCCUCAGACUAGCUACUUGCUAUGUGAUGCGUGCUGUUACCCAUGACAAUCCAGCUAUUAGACCUCUCCUCAGACUAGCUACUUGCUAUGUGAUGCGUGCUAUUACCAUGACAAUCCCGCUAUUAGACUUGUCCCAAGACUAUAACCUCUCUACGUGUCGCCAUAAUUAGCCCCUAGCCACUCUUUACUUGCUAGCAUGGCUCACCCGUUGACCUUCUCUUGAGUAGCCCGCCGCUAUGCGCUACAGCCGCGGUGAUUCGCCCGCGACGCUUCGCCGGGGAUCGGGUUUCAGACGUUUGUAAAAGGACACUUCCUGUUUGGCUCCGUGCGUGGGAUGCAGCCUGGCUCAUAACUGGGACGCUAUCGUUGUCUCGUAACCUUUUACACAGAUCUCAGUCCACAGGGAACACUGCCAAGUGGGACGGACUGGGACCUACUUCUGGGAAAGAGAAACGAAAGAAUGGACCUUUUUUUGUCUGGAGGCCAAGCUGCCUAAACCGGACUUGAUGUGGUUGAGGAUUCCUGGUUGGCAUUAACUGAUGGACUGAUUAGCAGGCACAUCUCUGUCUCCGCACCCUGGACCGGUGUGCCCAGGGAACUUUGGUUGUGGAGAUCACCUCGAUACUUUGUUGGAUACUAAGGGCCGUGAGGUGAAGUGAACUGUCGCUCACUCAAAGCAGCACAUACCCCCGUCGUCUGUAUAAUAUGAAUAUAUAAAUAUAUAUAUAUAGUGUGUUUUUCUACUAUUGUCCUUUGUGUCACUUUGGUCCACCAUAUUACAGGUGGGUGGUGUUGGAGGUUUUAUGUAAAGGCCUACUUUGUACGCUGUUGUGUUCCCAUUAUAAGGAACAACUGAGGUUAUGUAAAUCUGUCUGGCGAUACCUUCUUGGUUAUGUCGAGGCGCUUGGCUCGUCUGGUACGCAUCCAGUGUUUGAAGAAGUGCUUCUGAAUAUCUCAGAGUUGUUAAGAGAUUCCAUCCACCAACUGUUGUUUGGACUAGGGCCUGAGACAGAGUGUGUAACCCUCAUUUGAAUGUCGAUUUACGAAUUGGCGGGCAAGCGAUGCCGACUCGCCAAGCGAAUUAAAUCAAAGUUCCGUCGUUCAAAUUCUUCAAGCGUUGACGCAGGUGUGUGGAUGUGUGUAAUGGUUGGUAGUAUAUCUAUUUUCUCACUCGUAGAACAAUAAAAAUGUGUUUAGCACUCGUGUUUUCCAUGCAAGGUGUAAAUAAUUGACCUGAUCAAAAACAACAGUAGUAGAACUUCCAUUGAGUGUGAGCAGCAGUGAACCCUUGACACGGUACGAUGCGUGUUUUCCCAUCUCGUUGGAGGGCCUUCUGGGGGCCUGAGCUCUGGUCCGGCCAGACUAUAUUUCCUUCCUAAUAGGUGAUAAAAGCGCCGUAAAACACAGAGAGUAAGACGGAUACUUAGCCCCUGACAGAGCUCUGCUGGUUUCUGUGUGGAGUUGAAUCACGCAGUGGUUCCGCUAAACCAAUCACAGUUGCACGUCGUAGGACCUUCUCGAUGCGAACAGCAGGAAGGAAUAUAUAGGGGAACAUCUGGACCCGGAGAUAAGAACCAAUCUCCCCCCGUGAAGGAUGACAAGACGCCGUGUUAUCAGCUGAUGUGUUUGUGUGCAGAAAUUGCUCUCCUUAGGGGACGAAGUCAUAGUUAGAGGUUCGGUAUUUCCACCCAUGGAGGUUCUGACAUCGAGCGAGAAGAAGAAAAGCCCUCAAACCCUCCUUUCCUUUUACCUCAUCGUGUUGUACAUUUGCCGAUUUAUUUAACGUCUUUUUUUUUUUUCUUUUUUGUCGUAACAAGUGGUACGUGUUGUGUUUUUAAGAUUAAAUAAAGAAGCAUGUGAUGCGCAAAUGUUUCCAA